rnacentral:rRNA from 1 species
UACGGGGGGGGCAAGCGUUGUUCGGAAUUACUGGGCGUAAAGGGCUCGUAGGCGGCCAACUAAGUCGGACGUGAAAUCCCUCGGCUUAACCGGGGAACUGCUUCCGAUACUGGAUGGCUUGAGGUUGGGAGAGGGAUGCGGAAUUCCAGGUGUAGCGGUGAAAUGCGUAGAUAUCAGGAGGAACACCGAUGGCGAAGGCAGGUCUCUGGGCCGAUACUGACGCUGAGGAGCGAAAGCGUGGGGAGCGAACAGG